AGAGUUUGAUCCUGGCUCAGGAUGAACGCUGGCGGUAUGCUUAACACAUGCAAGUCGAACGCAGUCCUUCGGGGCUGAGUGGCGGACGGGUGAGUAACGCGUGAGAAUCUGCCUAAAGGACUGGGACAACAGCUGGAAACGGCUGCUAAUACCAGAUAUGCCAGAAAGUGAAAAGGGGUAACCCGCCUUUUGAUGAGCUCGCGUCUGAUUAGCUAGUUGGUAGGGUAAAGGCCUACCAAGGCACCGAUCAGUAACUGGUCUGAGAGGAUGGCCAGUCACACUGGGACUGAGACACGGCCCAGACUCCUACGGGAGGCAGCAGUGGGGAAUUUUCCGCAAUGGGCGAAAGCCUGACGGAGCAAUACCGCGUGGGGGAGGAAGGCUCUUGGGUCGUAAACCUCUUUUCUCAGGGAAGAACACAAUGACGGUACCUGAGGAAUCAGCAUCGGCUAACUCCGUGCCAGCAGCCGCGGUAAUACGGAGGAUGCAAGCGUUAUCCGGAAUGAUUGGGCGUAAAGCGUCCGCAGGUGGCAGUGUAAGUCUGCUGUCAAAGGUCAGGGCUCAACCCUGAACAGGCAGUGGAAACUACACAGCUAGAGUGCGGUGGGGGCAGAGGGAAUUCCCAGUGUAGCGGUGAAAUGCGUAGAGAUUGGGAAGAACACCGGUGGCGAAAGCGCUCUGCUAGGCCGCAACUGACACUCAUGGACGAAAGCUAGGGGAGCGAAUGGGAUUAGAUACCCCCGUAGUCC
rnacentral:rRNA from 1 species